CCCAGCGUUGAAACGCUGGGCUAUUGUCAGCCGUCCCCUCGGGACU
rfam:Armatimonadetes bacterium CG2_30_66_41 cg2_3.0_scaffold_1533_c, whole genome shotgun sequence.